rnacentral:rRNA from 1 species
AGUGAACGCUGGCGGUAGGCCUAACACAUGCAAGUCGAACGGCAGCACAGUAAGAGCUUGCUCUUACGGGUGGCGGGUGGCGGACGGGUGAGGAAUACAUCGGAAUCUACUUUUUCGUGGGGGAUAACGUAGGGAAACUUACGCUAAUACCGCAUACGACCUACGGGUGAAAGCAGGGGAUCUUCGGACCUUGCGCGAUUGAAUUAGCCGAUGUCGGAUUAGCUAGUUGGCGGGGUAAAGGCCCACCAAGGCGACGAUCCGUAGCUGGUCUGAGAGGAUGAUCAGCCACACUGGAACUGAGACACGGUCCAGACUCCUACGGGAGGCAGCAGUGGGGAAUAUUGGACAAUGGGCGCAAGCCUGAUCCAGCCAUACCGCGUGGGUGAAGAAGGCCUUCGGGUUGUAAAGCCCUUUUGUUGGGAAAGAAAAGCAGCAGGUUAAUACCCCGCUGUUCUGACGGUACCCAAAGAAUAAGCACCGGCUAACUUCGUG